AUUGAACGCUGGCGGCAGGCCUAACACAUGCAAGUCGAACGAGUGGCGGACGGGUGAGUAAUGUCUGGGAAACUGCCUGAUGGAGGGGGAUAACUACUGGCAACGGUAGAUAAUACCGCAUACCAUCGGAUGUACCCAGAUGGGAUUAGCUAGUAGGUGGGGUAAAGGCUCACCUAGGCGACGAUCCCUAGCUGGUCGUAGAGGAUGACCAGCAAAACUGGAACUGAGACGCGGUCCAGAAUCCUACGGGAGGCAGCAGUGGGGAAUAGUGUACAAUGGGCGGAAGCCUGAUGCCACCAUGGCGCGUGUAUGAAGAAGGCCAUCGGGGUGUAAAGUACUUUAAGCGGGGAGGCGUUACCCGCAGAAGAAGCACCGGCUAACUCCGUGCCAGCAGCCGCGGUAAUUC
rnacentral:rRNA from 1 species